AAACCAUGUCUUUUUGAGUUAUUUUAAAAGUCUGACCUGCCCACUGAAAUUAUUUAAAUGGCCGCAGUAUUCUAACUGUGCAAAGGUAGCAUAAUCAUUAGUCUUUUAAUUGAAGGCUGGUAUGAACGGUUGGACGAGGUAUAAGCUGUUUCAUAUAAAUUUAUAAUAGAAUUUUAUAUUUUAGUCAAAAAGCUAAAAUUUAAUUAAAAGACGAGAAGACCCUAUAAAUCUUUAUACUUUAAGUUGUUUAAAUUUUUUAGAUUAAUUUUAUUUUUAUAAUUUAGAGUAUUUUGUUGGGGUGAUAUUAAAAUUUAAUGAACUUUUAGUUGUUAAAAAUCAUUAAUUUAUGAGUUAUUGAUCCAUUAAUAGUGAUUAUAAGAUUAAGUUACUUUAGGGAUAACAGCGUAAUUUUUUUGGAGAGUUCAUAUCGAUAAAAAAGUUUGCGACCUCGAUGUUGGAUUAAGAUAUAUUUUAGGUGUAGCCG
rnacentral:rRNA from 1 species